rnacentral:rRNA from 1 species
UUUUGGACAAUGGGCGAAAGCCUGAUCCAGCAAUGCCGCGUGUAGGAUGAAGGCCCUCGGGUUGUAAACUACUUUUGUACGGAACGAAAAGCUCUCUUCUAAUAAAGGAGAGUGAUGACGGUACCGUAAGAAUAAGCACCGGCUAACUACGUGCCAGCAGCCGCGGUAAUACGUAGGGUGCGAGCGUUAAUCGGAAUUACUGGGCGUAAAGCGUGCGCAGGCGGUUAUGUAAGAUAGAGGUGAAAUCCCCGGGCUCAACCUGGGAACGGCCUUUGUGACUGCAUAGCUAGAGUACGGUAGAGGGGGAUGGAAUUCCGCGUGUAGCAGUGAAAUGCGUAGAUAUGCGGAGGAACACCGAUGGCGAAGGCAAUCCCCUGGACCUGUACUGACGCUCAUGCACGAAAGCGUGGGGAGCAAACAG